GCAGGAACGCGAGUCUUCGGACUUCAACUUCUGAUCUAAAUCANGAGAUGCAUCUU
rnacentral:rRNA from 1 species